rnacentral:rRNA from 1 species
UACGUAGGGGGCAAGCGUUGUCCGGAAUCAUUGGGCGUAAAGAGCGUGUAGGCGGCCCGGUAAGUCCGCUGUGAAAGUCCAGGGCUCAACCCUGGGAUGCCGGUGGAUACUGUCGGGCUCGAGUCCGGAAGAGGAGUGUGGAAUUCCUGGUGUAGCGGUGAAAUGCGCGGAUAUCAGGAGGAACACCAAUGGCGAAGGCAGCACUCUGGGACGUGGCUGACGCUGAGACGCGAAAGCGUGGGGAGCAAACAGG